CAUGCAAGUCGGACGGUAACAGGAGAGAAGCUUGCUUUUCUUGCUGACGAGUGGCGGACGGGUGAGUAACGCGUGGGAAUCUACCCUUUAGUUGGGGACAACAUAUGGAAACGUAUGCUAAUACCGAAUAUGCUCUACGGAGUAAAGGUGCCCUCUCCUUGGAAGGUAUCGCUAAAGGAUGAGCCCGCGUUAGAUUAGCUAGUUGGUAGGGUAAAGGCCUACCAAGGCGACGAUCUAUAGCUGGUUUGAGAGGAUGAUCAGCCACACUGGGACUGAGACACGGCCCAGACUCCUACGGGAGGCAGCAGUGGGGAAUAUUGCACAAUGAGGGAAACCUUGAUGCAGCCAUGCCGCGUGUGUGAAGAAGGCCCGAGGGUUGUAAAGCACUUUCAAUUGUGAGGAAGAUUAAGUAGCUAAUACCUGCUUAGUUUGACGUUAACUUUAGAAGAAGCACCGGCUAACUCUGUGCCAGCAGCCGCGGUAAUACAGAGGGUGCAAGCGUUAUUCGGAAUUACUGGGCGUAAAGCGCGCGUAGGCGGACUGUUAAGUCGGUUGUGAAAGCCCUGGGCUCAACCUAGGAACUGCAUCCGAUACUGGCAAUCUAGAGUUUAAGAGAGGGAAGUGGAAUUCCAGGUGUAGCAGUGAAAUGCGUAGAUAUCUGGAGGAACAUCAGUGGCGAAGGCGACUUCCUGGCUUAAAACUGACGCUGAGGUGCGAAAGCUUGGGUAGCGAACGGGAUUAGAUACCCCGGUAGUCCAAGCCGUAAACGAUGUCAACUAGCUGUUGGUCUUAUUAAAAAGAUUAGUAGCGCAGCUAACGCGAUAAGUUGACCGCCUGGGGAGUACGGUC
rnacentral:rRNA from 1 species